UACGUAGGGUGCGAGCGUUUGUCCGGAUUUAUUGGGCGUAAAGAGCUCGUAGGCGGUUUGUCGCGUCGGCCGUGAAAUCUCCACGCUUAACGUGGAGCGUGCGGUCGAUACGGGCAGACUUGAGUUCGGUAGGGGAGACUGGAAUUCCUGGUGUAGCGGUGAAAUGCGCAGAUAUCAGGAGGAACACCGAUGGCGAAGGCAGGUCUCUGGGCAUUAACUGACGCUGAGGAGCGAAAGCAUGGGGGAGCGAACAGG
rnacentral:rRNA from 1 species